rnacentral:rRNA from 1 species
UUAAGUCCGCAACGAGCGCAACCCUUAUUGCUAGUUACCAUCAUUAAGUUGGGGACUCUAGCGAGACUGCCAGUGAUAAACUGGAGGAAGGUGGGGAUGACGUCAAAUCAUCAUGCCCCUUAUGACCUGGGCUACAAACGUGAUACAAUGGCUGAAACAAAGGGCAGCGAAGGAGCGAUCUGGAGCGAAACCCAAAAAGCAGUCUCAGUUCGGAUUGAAGUCUGCAACUCGACUUCAUGAAGUCGGAAUCGCUAGUAAUCGCGGAUCAGAACGCCGCGGUGAAUACGUUCUCGGGGUUU